GCUCACAAGUAUUUUGCUUCAGGUAAAUGCAGCGGGGGACCUUUGUGCCAUUUGCCAGGAGAAGAUGCAUGCUCCGAUUCUGCUGCGCUGUAAACACAUUUUCUGUGAGGAUUGUGUCUCAGAAUGGUUUGAGAGAGAAAGAACUUGCCCUUUAUGCAGGGCACUGGUAAAACCUGCGGAUCUGCGAACAUUUGGGGACGGAUCAACAAGUUUAUUUUUUCAGUUUUUCUAAAAUUUGGAAUUCACCGAUUGGAGAGCCUAGAUAAUAUGAGCAAGCAGAGCAGCAUUCUUGAAACAGUCCCCGUUUUGUGUUUUGUUAAUAGGCAAAUGAAUGUAUUCUGAUAGAGCAUUGUAUCAUGAUUAAGGUUGCCUCCAGGUAAUGUGUUGCAAUCCUGAGGUCAUCCAUGAGCUCUCAAUGGAUGACAUAAUAGAUGACAUGAUUACUAAACUCCAUAUCUCCUCCUGCUUGACAUGUUAUCUCCUUUGUAUAGAUGCAAUGCAACCCACCUCUCUCUCU